rnacentral:rRNA from 1 species
CGAAUUGCCCUUCGGGGUGCAGCGGCGCGAAAACUCCACAAUGUACGACAGUACGAUGGGGUUAUCUCGAGUGCAGUCCGAUAAGGGCUGCUUUUCCAUAGAGUAAUAUCCUGUGGGAAUAAGAGGGGGGCAAGACUGGUGUCAGCCGCCGCGGUAACACCAGCCCCUCGAGUGGUGGGGACUAUUAUUUGGUCUAAAGCGUCCGUAGCUGGCUGUAUCCGUCCCCCGUUAAAUCCAGCGUCCUAAGCGUUGGACCGCGGGUGAUACCAUACAGCUAGAGGGUGGGAUAGGUGAGCGGUAUUUCUGGGGUAGGGGCGAAAUCCUUUGAUCCCAGGAGGACCACCAGUGGCGAAGGCUGCUCACUAGAACACGCCUGACGGUCAGGGACGAAAGCUGGGGCAGCGAACCGGAUUAGAUACCCGGGUAGUCCCAGCUGUAAACGAUGCCAGCUAGGUGUUGGGUCGGCCACGCGCCGCCCCAGUGCCGCAGGGAAGCCGUUAAGCUGGCCACCUGGGGAGUACGGCCGCAAGGCUGAAACUUAAAGGAAUUGGCGGGGGAGCAC